rnacentral:rRNA from 1 species
GAUGAACGCUAGCGGCAGGCUUAAUACAUGCAAGUCGAGGGGCAGCACAGAUAGCAAUAUUGGGUGGCGACCGGCAAACGGGUGCGGAACACGUACACAACCUUCCUUUUAGUGUGGGAUAGCCCAGAGAAAUUUGGAUUAAUACCACAUAGUAUAUUGGAGUGGCAUCACUUUGAUAUUAAAGAUUUAUCGCUAAAAGAUGGGUGUGCGUAUGAUUAGGUAGUUGGUAGAGGUAACGGCUCACCAAGCCUUCGAUCAUUAACUGGUGUGAGAGCACGACCAGUCAAACGGGAACUGAGACACGGGCCCGACUCCUACGGGAGGCAGCAGUAAGGAAUAUUGGUCAAUGGACGGAAGUCUGAACCAGCCAUGCCGCGUGAAGGAUGACGGCCCUCUGGGUUGUAAACUUCUUUUAUGUGGGACGAAAAAGGGCCAUUUUUGGUCAACUGACGGUACCAUAGGAAUAAGCACCGGCUAACUCCGUGCCAGCAGCCGCAGUAA